rnacentral:rRNA from 1 species
CUACGGGAUGCUCCAGUGGGGAAUAUUGCACAAUGGGCGCAAGCCUGAUGCAGCCAUGCCGCGUGUAUGAAGAAGGCCUUCGGGUUGUAAAGUACUUUCAGCGGGGAGGAAGGGAGUAAAGUUAAUACCUUUGCUCAUUGACGUUACCCGCAGAAGAAGCACCGGCUAACUCCGUGCCAGCAGCCGCGGUAAUAGGAGGGUGCAAGCGUUAAUCGGAAUUACUGGGCGUAAAGCGCACGCAGGCGGUUUGUUAAGUCAGAUGUGAAAUCCCCGGGCUCACCCUGGGAACUGCAUCUGAUACUGGCAUGCUUUAGUCUCGUAGAGGGGGGUAGAAUUCCAGGUGUAGCGGUGAAAUGCGUAGAGAUCUGGAGGAAUACCGGUGGCGAAGGCGGCCCCCUGGACGAAGACUGACGCUCAGGUGCGAAAGCGUGGGGAGCAAACAGGAUUAGAUACCCGAGUAGUC